AUGACGUGUGCUGUGGCCCCUCUGUCUGGCCCUCAACAAUGUCGAGCACCUUCCCCUCGUAAACUUCAUCUUUUAACCAGGUCCCCAGACAGUCAAAACCACCGAGGGGAUUUGACCACACGGACGGGCGCAUUAUACUUCGGUAUUUCCAUUUUCCUGGCUGCAGAAGUUCAUUCCGACUUUGAAAAUUUGUAAUUCUUUAAGACGGAAAUCGAAUUUAGCGGGCAACUAUGCAAAAGCUAACUCCAGCGACGUGGUAAGCUGCAUGAUUUCAUAACUCUGCUUUGUUACGCUCAAAGUUAAGACGUCGGGGCCUGCUCUACAAUGGAGUUGAGUUACUGUUAGCUCCAAGCAAAGUACACGAUUUAGCCCGGCAGAUCGACUUCAAGUGCAGUUUCAUGGAGCUGCAUAGCAAAGUUGCCAGUUUUAGGGCAAAUAUUUGUUCACUGCACAAUACUUUUCAUUUAAAAUGCGAGAGGAAUCCUCGAAUUGGCAUCGCACCGUACAAAUAAUGGAGAAUCAUUGUUGAUUGGUGACUUGGAAGCAAACCUGUUACGAAAGCUCCGUCGAGGAGCAUUGAUUGGGUCGCUGAAUUAAAAUGCGUGAAAUUUAACACCCAAGUUUCGGAACUCAAUCAAGGCCUGGAGAGACUACCUACCUAUCCAACUAACCGUGGGUGAAAUAGACUGAGUGUAAGUUUUUGAAACUAGGAAUCAGCGUAGCGGUGUCUGCCAUUCUGAAGCCACUAAUCACGAACAUCGGAUUCCUUCGACGGAUAGUCAUAUGUAAAUGAUAAAUAACUUAUGAUAAUCCUAUUUUUUGAAAACAGCAGUUGCACAGUUGGUCCAAACUAAAUGAUAAGAUCAAAAUUUUGUUUGUCAAAACUGAGCCACUGAUACGAGAUGAUUCCGUUUUUUGGUAGAGAUGAAAAUUGUACCCUACGAGUUCCAUUUCUCAAUUUUCGUUUUAUUUCCGGUGCAGACGCACCCUAAACUGAGUUUUCAAAAUCAAAAUCAAACCUUUUAUUAGAAUUUGUCCAACGAGAUUUGACCAAACUC
rnacentral:lncRNA from 1 species